rnacentral:rRNA from 1 species
ACACGUGGGUAACCUGCCUUAUAGUGGGGGAUAGCCUUUCGAAAGGAAGAUUAAUACCGCAUAAGAUUGUAGUAUCGCAUGAUAUAGCAAUUAAAGGAGCAAUUCGCUAUAAGAUGGACCCGCGUCGCAUUAGCUAGUUGGUGAGGUAAUGGCUCACCAAGGCAACGAUGCGUAGCCGACCUGAGAGGGUGAUCGGCCACAUUGGGACUGAGACACGGCCCAGACUCCUACGGGAGGCAGCAUG